rnacentral:rRNA from 1 species
UACGUAGGUGGCAAGCGUUGUCCGGAAUUACUGGGCGUAAAGCGUGCGCAGGCGGUUAUAUAAGACAGUUGUGAAAUCCCCGGGCUCAACCUGGGAACUGCAUCUGUGACUGUAUAGCUAGAGUACGGUAGAGGGGGAUGGAAUUCCGCGUGUAGCAGUAAAAUGCGUAGAUAUGCGGAGGAACACCGAUGGCGAAGGCAAUCCCCUGGACCUGUACUGACGCUCAUGCACGAAAGCGUGGGGAGCAAACAGG